rnacentral:rRNA from 3 species
UAGUGGUGAUAGCGGAGGGGAAACACCCGUUCCCAUCCCGAACACGGAAGUUAAGCCCUCCAGCGCCGAUGGUAGUUGGGGCCAGCGCCCCUGCAAGAGUAGGUCGCUGCUAGGCG